GUGCUUGCUUUGGCAGUACAUAUAUUAAAAUUGGAACAAUACAGAGAAGAGUAGUAUGGCC
rnacentral:snRNA from 10 species